AAUGGAUCCUAUUUUGAGGACGCCAUUUUUACAUUUGAAAGGCGUUGGUUGAACUCUCACUUCCGGCUGUUGGUUUGAAGGCAGAGCCACGGCACAAAAGAAGAUAAAGGAAAGAUAUAUCAAAAAGGAGUAAUGCAAUGAAGACACAGAAGAGGGAAUGAGCCCAUCUCCUUCUGGGUAUUGGGAAGGCUUUAUGGAAGCUGUGGCAUUGUAGAUAGGAGCUAAUGAAGGAUUGUAGCAGAAAACCAAGAGAAAGGUAGAUGUUGCUAUAUGAAGAGAGGUGAUGUGAUAUCUAGA
rnacentral:lncRNA from 1 species